rnacentral:lncRNA from 1 species
GAGGCUUCUGGGUUUUGGAUUAAAGGGGAAGGAAAAUUCCAUGGACUGCCACACUCACAAGAAGCCAGAGCUGCAGCAAGGACAGUGUAUUCCCUUUUCUUCAACUUUUAAAAUCUCUGUUGUUUUCUGAGCCUAGGGGUGAAUAGAAGAAGAUCAAGAGGCAGUGAUGUGUCAUUAUGAUCUCCAUUUCAUACACAAAGAACGGAGCUUCACAGUGGUUAAGUAACUUGGCUGAACUUACACCAGCAUGAAGAUUCAAAUUCCAGUCCAAAACUUAUGGAAAUAUCUAUUAGAGAAGCCUGUAUUAGUUCUCUACCAGAUAUAUUUUCCUAGAUUCAGAAAAGCCUGAAUUUGCAAAAAGUUUGUUUCGAUCAUCAUAGGCAAGGUGAAAUAGAAAGUCGAAGAAAUCAUCUCGGUCAUUACGAGUCCUCAAGUAGUUGCUUUUUGUACUUUGAAUAAAGACUUUAGUCAUAGUAGGAGAGAUAGACUGUAAUGGACUUACUUCACGAUGGCUGCACCAGAGGUUCCAAGAACGAUGGCUUUCAACUUCAACCCACAUCUAAAACACACCACUGUAGCCACACCCUACACCCUGUGGUUAUCCAGUUGUGAGUCCUAUUGGAGAGAUGAGAUUUAACUAGAUGACCAUGACCAUGAAGAACUUCUCAAGCUCUUUGGUUCUACAGGUGUAUGACAGUUUCCUGGAGGGGGUCAUAUGGAUCUACUACUACCUUCCCACUGACAUUAGGCAGAUGUUCAUUAGAUUGGUUUGAUAGAUGUAAUGGUUAAUAUUGAGUGUCAACUUGAUUGGAUUGAAGGAUGCAAAGUAUUGU